GGCCUGGGGGCAGUCACCGCCCUCUCCUGGCUUUCUCUGGGAGAGGGCGCCUGGGACACCGCUUUCUGACAUUUUGACAGCUCAGAGGUUCUUAAGACUUUUGUUUCUCCAGUGGAAGUUAACAGGCUGACUGUAGGGACACGCAGCCGCCCAUAUAUGCGUGUAGUAAGGACCAAUUUGGAAGACUCGUAAGAAGACACAGCGUUCCUUAAGCAAACACGGGCGAUGGAUUUAAAUGCUCGGAAUUAGAACAAAUCAACGACUGCAGGUGAAAUGGCUUUGCUAACCGUAAAAUAUAUUAUUAUUUAUUCAACAUGAAAACAGGAAGUCCUCCAUGAGCACAUGAUGGACUCUCUCUGUGUCAGCCAGGCUGGCGUGCAAUGGCACGAUCUCAGCUCACUGCAACCUCUGCCUCCCAGGUUCAAGUGAUUCACCUGCCUCAGCCUCCCAAGUAGCUGGAAUUACAGGCAAAAUAAAAUGAAAAUUGGGACAUGCUUCCUCAUGGAAUAGGGAGUAAUAUUUAGUAAGUUUACCCAAGCAGUGUCCAUGGAUGGAGGGAAGAAGAGGAUCAAGGCCUGAGAGGGAGAAGAGGAGAAUCCCACAGAAAGACAGAAGAAGGAGCAGCCAGUACGAGACAGGUGCAGUGGCCCAUGCCUGUAAUCCCAGCACUUUGGGAGGCCAAGGCAGGUGGAUCACCUGAGGUCAGGAGUUCAAGACCAGCCUGGCCAACACAGUGAAACCCCAUCUCUACUAAAAAUACAAAAAUUAUCCGGGCAUGGUGAAAGGCACCUGUAAUCCCAGCUACUCGGGAAGCUGAGGCAAGAGAAUGGCUUGAACCGCGGAGGUGGAGGUUGCAGUGAGCCGAGAUCAUGCCGCUGCACUCUAGCCUGGGCAACAGAGCAAGACUUCAUUUCAAAACUAAAAAACAAAAACAAACCAGAAAACUAUUUCCAUUAGUAUGAGAUUUUGUAUUCACUCAAAACUAUUAUUAUAAUAAUUUUAAAUUUAAUCCAAAAAUACAACUGUAACCUUAUAAUUGUAUUUAUACAUGAAUAAUAUAGAAUUAUGUGAAAUUAGGAACUCCGUUAUCUCUUACAUCUACACCCAUGCCCCCCUACCCAUUAUACUAAGAAUGCUUGUUCUUAUCAUAGAGAUUUGUUUUCUUACAAAGUAAAAGGAGAAAUAUCCCCAUGAGAUCCAAUAAAGUCUUUAAGUAACUUGUUCCAUUAUUAUAUACUAUAGUCUAGAGAAGAAUAAUUCUAAUUCCUUUGGAAUUUCAAUACAAGAUACUUGAAUUUUUUGAAAAGGAAGUUACAUCACUUUCUACCAUUAUUUAUUACCUUUUGAGCUGUGACAGACAGUGUACUCAGCGCUACACAAAACACAGGACACAGUGCCUUCCCUUAGCUGAUGUUGAGAAGCCACCUUAGAAUUAGAAUCUAUGAACAUGAGUUUCGAAGGUGGCACCUUUAGGUAUUUUAGUUCACAGACAUUUUAAUGUGUGUUGAUUUAUAAACUGUAAAAUAGAAUGGAAGUUUAAAUAUUAAUCUGAAAAAAAACUUUGUAUGGGGUGGCACUGUUUAUGUUAAUAUUUCUGCUGAAGUUGGCUAAGUAAUGGCUUCCUAACAUUUAGCUGUAUUCCAGCACUUACUCUGCAAGUACAAAAUCUAUUGAUUUUUAUGAAUAUGAAAGUAAAUGAGUCUCAACGAAACAAUUAGAAAACACAGAAAAGUGUCAAUAGAAAAAUCAUCUGCAAUUCGAUGUUUAGGCAGCUUACAAAAUUCUUUCUUCUCUGUGGUUCAGGAAACCCAUCAUAAGGCAUAAGCUUUGGAAUCAGACAAAUCUGGGUUCAAAUUCUACCCUCUCCACUUAUUCAGGGCACCUUGCAGUAAGCCUCUUAACUCAAUGAGUUUAUUUUAAAUUUUGACUUACCUUCCCCUCCAGUUACCAUCCCUUCCUCCCUCCCUCCCUCUCUCCCUCCCUCCCUCCCUUCCUUCCUUUCUUCCUCCCACCCUCCCUCCCUUCCCUUCCUUCCUUCCUUCCUCUCUUUCUUUCUUUCUUUUCUUUCUCCCUCCCUUCCUUCCUUAUCUCCUUUCUUCCUUCCUUUCCUUCCUUCCUUUCUUUCCCCCCCUCCUUCCCUCCCUUCUUUCUUCUUUCUCUCUUCCUUUCCUUCCCUUUCUCCUGCUGUUGCCCACACUGGAGUACAGUGGCACAAUCUCAGUUCUCUGCAACCUCUGCCUCCCAAGUUCAACCAAUUCUCCUGCCUCAGCCUCCUGAAUAGCUGGGAUUACAGGCACCUGCCACCAUACCUGGCUCCCUUUUUUGUAUUUUUAGUAGAGACGGGCUUUCACCAUGUUGUCCCAGCUGGUUUCAAACUCCUGACCUCAAGUGAUCAGCCCACCUCUGCCUCCCAAAGUGCUGGGAUUAUAGGCAUGAGCUACCGUGCCUGGCCCAUCCAUUUCUUUAGAAAAGUGUGUAUUGUCCUUUCUUACCCUCAUUGCACUCCUCUACCUACUAUAAUCUUCUGUCCCUAUUGUCCAGAAAUGACUCUCAUGAAGGUCACUAAUGGCCUGAGUGUUGCCAAGUUCAGUGCACAUUUUCCUUCUUUAUCUUACGCUCCCUCUCAGCAGCUGUGUUGCCCUGGCACGCUGCAGAAGUGAUACUGGAUAGCUAAUUGCAGACAUUUCUUUCCAAGUUCAGUGAAGGAGUGUUGGUGGCUUGAAAUUAUUAGCCACAGUGACAGUAUUUACACCACAAAAAUCAGCAAAUGCUAUAAAUCAGGGCCUUUUUUUUUCCUGAUAGCCACAUGCUAAACAUUUACCUGACACCAAGAGAUAUAGGGGAACAUUUUCUCCUUCAUAGGAUGCUAUUUUUGCUGUUUAUUCAAUACCCGCCCCCCCCGGUUUUCUUUCCAUCUUAGCUCCCCUAUCCCACCAUUACAUGUUAGCAUUCUUCUUCCUUUCAUGCCCUAGCUCCAUAAAUGAUCACACUAGUUUCUAUGUAUUCAAAUACUACCACUAUGUGGAUCAAUUUUGGAUCUGUAUCUGCAGCCCAGACCUCUUCUCUAAGAUUCAAACUCAAACAUGGAACCACUCAUUUAAAUUUGUACUGGGGGUCUUACAGCAGACCUCUCAAACUCACUGACAAAACUUAGUUCCAUAAAACCUUUCACUUUGUAUGUGUGUGUGUGUGUGUGUGUGUGUGUGUGUGUGUGGUAGAGUCUCACUCUGUCACCCUGGCUGGAGUGCAAUCUCAGCUCACUGCAACCUCUCCCUCCCGGGUUCAAGUGAUUCUUAUGCCUAAGCUCCCAAGUAGCUGGGAUUACAGACACCUGCCACCACACCCAGCUAAUUUUUGUGUUCUUAGUAGAGACGGGAUUUCACCAUGUUGGCCAGGCUGGUCUUGAACAUCUGACAUCAAGUGAUCCACCUGUGUCAGCCUCCCAAAGUGUUGUGAUGUGUGAGGUGUGAACCACCACAACCGGCCAAACCUUUCCCUUUCUGGUCUUCCCCAUCCCAACAUUCUCCAUUUCAGCAAACGCAACCACAAUGUACUCGAUCACUGAAGCCAGAAACCUAAGCAUCAUCCAUGGUUCAUCCCUGUUCCUCAACUUCAUGUCUAAUCCAUCAGCAAAUCCUGUCAAUUCUACCUCCAAAAUAGCUUGUUCCUCUAAUUUUUUUUCUUCAGUUUUAUUCCCAUCAUAUUUUGGGCCACCAUCAUCUUUCAGCUCAAUUACUGUAACAGCUCCAAACUGAUCUCUGAACUUCGAUUCUUCUUCCCCUCAAAUCCAUUCUCCAUGUAGCAGUAAAAAGUGAUCAUAACAUGGAGAUCACACCAUUUGUCUGCUUAAAAGUCUUCUUUUUAAGUUUCUUAAAUAGCUCUUUUAUUCAUUAAAGCUUUUUAAAUUUUAUUAUGCUUUAAGUUCUGGGAUACAUGUGCAGAUAUGAGGUUUGUUAAAUAGAUAUUGUCUUCUUAAAGUCUUUAAAUGACCUUUCAUUGCAUUUAGUUUAAAAAAUUUUUUCAGGUUUUUGAACUGGUCUCUGCUUACCUCUCUCCAACUUUUGAAGUGUGAUUAUUUAAGCUCAUGUAUGAUCUGUUCAAGACUUUGGCUUCCUAGUCUCUGAACAUGCCAGGCUUCCCCUGCACCCCACAUAUAGCUUUUGUAUGUACAUACCGAGUCUGAAAUGAUCUUUUCUUUGCUCCUCCUGUGGGUAGUUCCUUGUGUUGUUCCUUUUAUUACGAAAUCAAUGUAAAUUUACCCUUUCCAUUGUUCUUUAUUCUAGCCCCUUGUUUAUUUCCUGAUUGACUGAAUAAAUGAAUCUGUAUUUCUAAGGAUUUAUCUAAUAGGAAUGAAUAAUGAACAAGUAUUAAAAAGUUCUUAGCAUGAGGCCUGGUGCAGGGUGUAUGUUAAAGAAUUUUUUUUUGCUACUAUUUUUCAAUUUAAUUUUAUUUAUAACAUUCCAUAGUUCCUAAAUAAAGACUUGUGUCCUGAAGGUGACUGUGUUCAAGCUCAGGAUAUUCUCACUUCCUAGUUUCACAGAUGGGUGAGCUGAAUUAAGCAGGACAUCCCUAGUUUUUGUGCUUUGGUUUAUUAAGAAUGUACUGGUAAAGGAAGGAGUGAAUAUUGCUGGUAGAAACUGAAACAUUUAUGGUGAUCCAAAUAGGAUAAAAGACAAGAGCACUAAGAAAACUAUUAGACCACAAGUGCCUCUUGUUUUUCCUGAUCAAACAGAUGUAGAAAGAGCAUGUUUAGAUUUUGGUGAUUUAAUUGGUCAGACUGUGAUGCUAACAAGGCUCUGGUUAUAUGCUUCUAAAUUUAGUCACUUAGUUUGAUAUCAGAAAGUUCUGCAACUGUAAUAUUAUAUUAAAAAUAGAGCUUUUCAAUUAUUAAAGCACCUAGGGCAAGUAGAAGUUUGGUGCAUUAUAUAUAUAUAUACACACACACACACACACACACAUAUAUACACAUAUAUACAGACAUAUAAACACACACCUAUAUACAUACACACACACAAACACAUAUAUAUGUUUUUUUCUUUUUCUUUUUCUUUUGAGACCGGGUCUCACUCUGUCACCCAGGCUGGAGUACAGCGGCGUGAUCUUGGCUCACUGCAACCUCCACUCCUGGGAUCAAGCAAUCCUCCUGCAUUACCCUCCCAAGUAGCUGGGACCACAGACACGUACCACCAUGUCCAGCUAAUUUUUGUAUUUUUGGUAGAGACGGGGUUUCACCAUGUUGCCCAGGCUGGUCUUGAAGUCCUGAGCUCAAGUGAUCUGUCCGCCUAGGCCUCCCAAAAUGCUGGGAUUACAGACGUGAGCCACUGCGCCCAGCCCAUUAUGUUUUUUUAUGUAGGGGUGAUUUAGGGAGUAGCAUCACUUUACAAUUCUAAGACGAGUACACGUAAGCAAUAUAACAUUUAAAUAACAUUAAUACAUCAAAUUUUAAAACCAUUAAAGGCAAGAAAUUUGUUCAAAUACUUGGUUGUUUCUCAGGAGCAGUAACCUUUCUGUAGCCUUGAGGAUGUAUCCACAAGGGACCUUCCAGGCAAUUGCUUUCUACUUUCAUCCAAACCUGUAGCCCCACUCUUUCCAGUCUCUUUGUCUUCCUUAAGGACCUAGAACAAAAUUUUCCUGAACUUUAACCUUGACCCACCCUGUCCACUGUGGUCAUUCAGGGGUAAGAGCUCACUCCUAGGCCUUGUUUUACCAUGCAGUCAAAAUAUAUAGAAAAAGAACAGCUUAAGAGAAGUAAGAAAGCUUUGACCUGUGAAGCAAAAUUUCUAUGAGGCCAUUGGUUUGUAUUGAGCUCUCACACUGGGCCCAACAGACUGAAGCAAAAUGGAAUCACUCCUGCUGAAGUUUCACAUCACCAAACCAAAGCUAAGUUGUUGAUCUGACCUUCCAAGGAAUCAGAGAGAGAUAGAGAGAGAGAGCACCAAAUCCCCAAACAGACCAGUUUUACCUGGCAUGAUAAGGAAGUCCUUUCUGCUUUAACCUUUAGAAGGAAAGCAACUUCAAAAUGACCAAUCCACUUUUUGUUCUCUGGGUCUGCUUCCCCAGCCCUUUCUGCCUAUAAAGCCAACCUUCUCUGUUCAGCUCAUUUACAGAUUGAGUUGUUGCCCGAUUCUAGAAUCACUGAUAAAAGCCUAUUAAGAUAUUUACCUAAAUGAGUUGUAAUUUUGUCUUUGGAUAGACUCACUUGAUUUUUUUUCCCCACAGAUUCACUUUCCACUUGCCUGCCACCUUCUUUUUCGGGAAUCCCACUGUAUGUUCUCUAGGACCCUGUUUAUUCUGCAACUCACAUCAAAAUUGCUCUUUCCUAAAGAUGAGGUACAGAAGAGAGAAGGCGUUGGCUUUCCUUAUAUAGAGUUGAUUUCCUGGAACACCUCCAGCCACAGCCCUUUUAUUUACUUUAUUAUUAUUUUUUACUCUGCCAUAAAUUCAACCAAGUGUACACAACCCUUUUAAUAUGUGAAUGAUGAAAGAAUAAAAGACACAGGCUCACUGGAAGGCAGGAUGUGAGUCACCAUUAAAAAAAAAUCAACACAAACUUCAUCCUAAUGACUAUUUCUAAGGAUCUUUCCUAGGCAUAUAUUUGCACAAAUGUGAAGAGACACGCUUAAGGAUAUUUAGUGCAGCCUGGUUUGUAACAGUGAAAUCAGCAACAACAUAAAUGACUGGCAAAAGGAAAAUGGUUCCCUAAAUUAUAUUACACCCAUGCUAUGGAAUAUAUCCAUAGUAUGCAGCAUCCAAAGAAUAAAAUAGACCUAUAUGCAUCAAUGUGAAAAGACCUUUAAGAUAAAUUGUUAAAUGAAAACAAAUCUAUAGAAAAAGCAUAAUCCAUUUACAUAAAAAAUAUAUUUCUUUGUGUAUAUGUACAUACACAUAAUGUAUAUAUGUACAUAAAGAAAAAGAUCUAGAAUGAUCCCCAUCAAAUAGUAGUGAGCUUUUGCUUUGU